rnacentral:rRNA from 1 species
GUGGCGACCGGCGCACGGGUGCGUAACGCGUAUGCAACCUACCUUUCACAGAGGGAUAGCCCAGAGAAAUUUGGAUUAAUACCCCGUAACAUAACGAUGUGGCAUCACAUUGUUAUUAUAGCUUCGGCGCUAGAUGAUGGGUGUGCGUAUGAUUAGAUAGUUGGCGAGGUAACGGCUCACCAAGUCUACGAUCAUUAGCUGAUGUGAGAGCAUGAUCAGCCACACGGGCACUGAGACACGGGCCCGACUCC